rnacentral:rRNA from 1 species
UGCAAGUCGAGCGGGGAGGAGGAAGCUUGCUUCCGAAUCCUAGCGGCGGACGGGUGAGUAACGCGUGAGCAACCUGCCUCAAACAGGGGGAUAACGCAUCGAAAGAUGUGCUAAUACCGCGUAAGACCACGGCACCGCAUGGUGCAGAGGUCAAAGGAGCAAUCCGGUUUGAGAUGGGCUCGCGUCCGAUUAGCUAGUUGGUGAGAUAACGGCCCACCAAGGCGACGAUCGGUAGCCGACCUGAGAGGGUGAUCGGCCACAUUGGAACUGAGAAACGGUCCAGACUCCUACGGGAGGCAGCAGUGGGGAAUAUUGGGCAAUGGGCGAAAGCCUGACCCAGCAACGCCGCGUGAGGGAAGAAGGGUUUCGGCUCGUAAACCUCUGUCCUAUGGGACGAAUAAGAUGACGGUACCAUAGGAGGAAGCCCCGGCUAACUACGUGCCAGCAGCCGCGGUAAUGCGUAGGGGGCGAGCGUUGUCCGGAAUGAUUGGGCGUAAAGGGCGCGUAGGCGGCCUGUUAAGUCUGGAGUGAAAGUCCUGCUUUCAAGGUGGGAAUUGCUUUGGAUACUGAUGGGCUCGAGUGCAGGAGAGGAAAGCGGAAUUACCGGUGUAGCGGUGAAAUGCGUAGAGAUCGGUAGGAACACCAGUGGCGAAGGCGGCUUUCUGGACUGAAACUGACGCUGAGGCGCGAAAGCGUGGGGAGCAAACAGGAUUAGAUACCCUGGUAGUCCACGCGGUAAACGAUGAGUGCUAGGUGUAGGAGGUAUCGACCCCUUCUGUGCCGCAGUAAACACAAUAAGCACUCCGCCUGGGGAGUACGGCCGCAAGGUUGAAACUCAAAGGAAUUGACGGGGGCCCGCACAAGCAGCGGAGCAUGUGGUUUAAUUCGAAGCAACGCGAAGAACCUUACCNGGUCUUGACAUCCAGUAAAACUUGUAGAGAUACAUCGUGACUUNNUCAUACUGAGACNNUGGUGCAUGGGUUGUCGUCAGCUCGUGUCGUGAGAUGUUGGGUUAAGUCCCGCACGAGCGCAACCCCUAUCGUC